AACGAACGCUGGCGGCAGGCCUAACACAUGCAAGUCGAACGCCGUAGCAAUACGGAGUGGCAGACGGGUGAGUAACGCGUGGGAACCUACCUUACGGUCGGGAAUAGCUCAGGGAAACUUGGGGUAAUACCGGAUAAGCCCUUACGGGGAAAGAUUUAUCGCCGUUAGAUGGGCCCGCGUAGGAUUAGCUAGUUGGUGAGGUAAUGGCUCACCAAGGCGACGAUCCUUAGCUGGUCUGAGAGGAUGAUCAGCCACACUGGGACUGAGACACGGCCCAGACUCCUACGGGAGGCAGCAGUAGGGAAUAUUGGACAAUGGGGGCAACCCUGAUCCAGCCAUGCCGCGUGAGUGAAGAAGGCCCUCGGGUUGUAAAGCUCUUUUGUCCGGAAAGAAAGCAAUCGGUUAAUACCCGGUUGUUCUGACGGUACCGGAAGAAUAAGCACCGG
rnacentral:rRNA from 1 species